UUCCAUCUCUCAAUGUAACUGUAUCCCAACAGAGAAAUCAUAGUACAACUAAUGGGGGAAUCACUUACAAAAAAACAUUAUGCUAAAAAGCAAAGGAAGAAUCAUCUCUUCACACAAACACAGUACAAGUUACUUUAGUCAGAAAGGCCAUGCUGUAAUUUUCAAGACUAACCAACAUUGGCCAACAACAAUCGGAUGGAGCAGUGUGUGUAUUAACAUGACGAGGAAGUGGUAGUAAGGGGGUGUGGCUACCCGUACCCACAUUUCUUACCGGUACACCAUUUAUACUAGAGGGCCACGGGGGAUAACCGGGAAGGAAACAGAUACGUGUGGAAUGGAGAGACUACCAAGUGUUGUAUCGGAGGCUCCGUAAGCCACGUGAAAUGAUGUCCUGAAGGAGUCGUUGUCUGUUCAUCAUCAUCAGCUAUGCUAUGUUGGACAAUAACACACGUACUCAUCUCAGACCCACAAUCCUCGUAGUAAAUUUGAACCUGACAGUUCGAUGUUGCUGCAGAGCUUAUCAUCCUCUGUCAUCUCGUUAGCGCGUGAGUGAUACGUCAUUUGAAGUCCCUCACUAGCACCGUCCUUGUGUACGUUACUGGGGAUUCAGGUCGUAUAAUACACGCUUCUGAUUUUUCGAGAGGAAGGGAAUGCACACACCUGCAGUGCUCACCAACACACAGAAUGCUGUCAAUGCGAGCAUACACGCUCCAAACACGAUUCCGGUAUAACAAGCCUAAUCGCUGUCACUCAGUGCUAACCUCAACAGUGACCUUUACUUAUCCAGGACAUGUACCACCAAACUGUAUUGAGUACACAUCUUUGUUACUUACGUCUGUAAACAGACGUCUUGAACAACAGAUCAAUACCCAUUUUUUCAGUCUGUCUUUAAAUUUAUCGAGGUAAGUAAUAGAUUCAAGAAGACUCUCUGUCUGUCAGUUGCCUGCCUGUCUCUUCCCCCUCCCCUCUUUCCCUCGCUCUCUCUGUCUGCCUGUCUGUCAUUUCCUAUCAUCCUAUCUCUGUCUCUCUCUCCCUCUCUCUAUCUGUUUCUGUCUUUCUUCCUUCUUAUUGUUCUCCGUGUACUUGUCUGUUUGUGUGUGUGUGUGUGUAUGUGUGAGUGUGUGUGUGUGUGUGUGUGUGUGAGUGUGAGUGUGUGUGUGUGUGUGUGUGUGUGUGGUGGUGUGUGGGUGUGUAUAUGUCAUGAAGUGGUGCGAAUGAACAGUGUAAAUGUUCAUGCAUUUCCUAUAUUUUGUACUGUAUGUUAAUAAUGUAAAUGUUGUGAGGAAAACGACUAGUAGCCCUUGGGCUGUUCGUAAUCCUCGUGAAAUAAAUAAAGAAUUACAUCUUUGUUACUUACGUCUGUAAACAUAUCGUGGCAAACCAUAUAAGUAGUUUAUCGAAUACAUCUGUUGAUUACCUAAAGUAUACGUCAUCAAUUACAUCACCCAAUCUUACAUAGUGUACGCGUGAGGAUCGUGAACAGAUCGUUAACAUUUGUGGGCGCAUGUCGAUGAAGAGUAAGUGUAUUUGUUUAUGAGGUAUGCGUUUCGAGACAUUUUUGGAAUGUUCAUCUCAUAGAAAAUUCAAUUACAAUUAUUAUUAUUCAGCAUUUAGUUCAAAUAAUAUUUGUAUCGUGUGUGGCUUUUUUCAAUUAAUAGAACAGCCGUCGCCCUGGGAGGGUCAUUCAUAUCAAACAUAACACAGUUAUGACGCCAUAAUAAUGAUGACGUCAAAAUCGUUCUAUGGCAUUCAUAGCCUAUAUGAAUGUCAACUGGAUUUGGUAGGGUUAUAUAUUGGCAAUACCAUUCGAUGGCAAAUAUUAAUGUAUAGAUUGUAUCAAUAAAACAAGGGUGAUAUUGAGAAUACAUAGACAAUCAUUUUACAAAAGAGUUUGACGUUAUUUUUUAUGAGAGCGCGCCAACAGAAAUGUGUAAAACUUUCGGUAACAUUUAGCAACGUCAGUCGACAGUCUCAAAAAUAACAAUAGGAAAUAAACCCAAUAAACACUUCUAGUUGAUAAAAUUACAAUGAGUGACUUCUUGUGUACAGUAUUUAACACGAUAAUAUGCUGAAUUGUAUACAUUUAGAUAAAGCACAUGGCUAUGUGACAUUACAGAUAUUUCAUUGAACAAAUAGGCAACAAAAUUUUGAAUGCAAAUCUAUGGAAAUUAACUGCCGGUCAAGUUAUUGCCAAGCAAUAUAAUAACAUCCACCAGAACAAAACAGGAUGCAUCCAUAUGUAUCAACUUCCGGGGAUGAAAUAUCGUAUAGAUGUUUGCUUACAACUAUGUUUCUCUUUUACAUCGUUUUCUAUGAGUACGACAACUACAUUGUACAGUAUGGGUGUGUGUGACAGCAUAUGAAAAACUAUCUGAAGCGUGAUAGCAGGUCCGU